rnacentral:rRNA from 1 species
AGUGAACGCUGGCGGUAGGCCUAACACAUGCAAGUCGAACGGCAGCACAGUAAGAGCUUGCUCUUACGGGUGGCGAGUGGCGGACGGGUGAGGAAUACAUCGUAAUCUACUUUUUCGUGGGGGAUAACGUAGGUAAACUUACGCUAAUACCGCAUACGACCUACGGGUGAAAGCAGGGGAUCUUCUGACCUUGCGCGAUUGAAUGAGCCGAUGUCGGAUUAGCUAGUUGGCGGGGUAAAGGCCCACCAAGGCGACGAUCCGUAGCUGGUCUGAGUGGAUGGUCAGCCACACUGGAACUGGGACACGGUCAAGACGCCUACGGGAGGCAGCAGUGGGGAAUAUUGGACAAUGGGCGCAAGCCUGAUCCAGCCAUACCGCGUGGGUGAAGAAGGCCUUCGGGUUGUAAAGCCCUUUUGUUGGGAAAGAAAAGCAGCAGGUUAAUACCACGCUGUUCUGACGGUACCCAAAGAAUAAGCACCGGCUAACUUCGUG